UACGAAGGGGGGCUAGCGUUGCUCGGAAUCACUGGGCGUAAAGCGCACGUAGGCGGAUUGUUAAGUCAGGGGUGAAAUCCUGGAGCUCAACUCCAGAACUGCCCUUUGAUACUGGCAAUCUCGAGUCCGGGAGAGGUGAGUGGAACUGCGAGUGUAGAGGUGAAAUUCGUAGAUAUUCGGAAGAACACCAGUGGCGAAGGCGACUCACUGGACAGGUAUUGUACGCUGAGGUGCG
rnacentral:rRNA from 1 species